UCCUCAGCAGCGGAGCUCCGGCGCGCUGCCGCUGGCCUUGUGCUCCGGCUUAUGCGUUAUUAUAGUUGCAUUCAUUGCAACAUUCACAUUGUGCGCAGCGCGGGGUACCGUCGCGUCAUUUGCCGGCGAUGGAAGGUCGACAUUUGCGCGAAGUUAAGUCGCAAUCGUAGGACGCAGUGACUGACUGUGAGUGUGAGUGUGACUGGCGCCUCCUGCCUCACAGCCAGCUUUUCACCUGACGGCCGCUAAAAUGUAGCGAUGGACAGAACAACAAGCCGUAUGUUUCAGAAGAAACAAGUUCACGCUGUUUUUCGUUUUUUUUUUUUCCGCGAGAUCAGCCCAGUGUUGGGCAAACAUCGACGUUCGCGUUUACUGAACGGUUUAGCCUUUACAUCAUCGACGUUCCGGGAACCCGACUGACUGAGUUAAGUUGAUGCAGUUGUCCACUAGAAGCCCAGGAUCAGGAUCUGAGCUCUGAAAAUCAACCCAUUACCAUGGAAUAUGUGGAAAAGAACAUGACAACAGUUCUACUACACAAGAUAUAUGACUUUUCUAACUCUGGACACCCAGAGACCACCUUUCUUCGGAUGUGGCAACUCCUUGGACCACUUGCGCACUUUCUCAGGUUCUGUGGGGAUAUGCAGUAACAUAUCCCUGAGUAUGUCUCUUCACGUUCACCCAUUUUGUUCCUGACUGAAGAGCCAGGAGCAGUGCUGGACAGAUUUCAUCAUUGGUGCAAGUGCCUGAGAUGGCUGCCUCAGAAUUCGCCAUGUCAUGCUCCCUCACUUCUGCUUCUUGAAGGUGAGCACACCUCAUCUCCUCCACAGUUCAGAAUGCGGAAAGAGGUGGGGAGGAGGGCGUUGGUCCGCUAGUGGGCUUCCAUGUACUUCCUGCAUCUGAACCAGUCUGCCUCUGGGCUCUCUGCACUCAGCUUCUCCUUUCUCCCUCAGAGCUCUUUUUUUCUCACAACAGGCCUUAGUCUUCUGCAGCUGCUCAUUCAUGGCAUUCAAAUGGUCCUUUGACUCCUUCACCUCAUUAUAUUCAGCACUCACUGUGCACUCAUCCAUCUUCCUCUCUGCACUCGUUUCUCAGAUUACUUGCAAUGAUUGACAUCGGGUUCAUACCAGCGGCAAAAGGGUUUGAUCUCCAGAAAUUCAGCACUUUACCACUGGCCUGGUUAGCUCUGUGGAAAUUAGAAAUAUGUACAGGCUUCCAGGAAAGGCUCUGGACAAGUGCUCAUUAAUAAUACAUUCUGUUGCUGUUGUCAUUUUUAAAUGGUAUUAUUUAUUGUAAACUGCUUUAGAGCUGUAACUCGUGUUUUUUUGUGAAGUGUUCUAAGAAACUGUCAAAUGUUUUAUUGUAUUUAUGUACUUUAUUUAGCAACUAAUCCCUCAAAUAUGUCCUUUGUCAAAAUAACAAUAAACCAUUUCCACAGCCAUUCUGUGUUCAUUGUGAAUGGAAAAAAUAAACACAGCUGGUAUGGCUGUGUUCAGCAGCAGUCAAAAGACACAAGAAAAAAGUUAAAACUGAGCUACUGUACCAGUCAGCCGCCUCCACCUGGCACAACAAGGUCAAAGACUGCCAUUGUCAUGCAUUC